rnacentral:rRNA from 1 species
UACGUAGGGGGCGAGCGUUGUCCGGAUUUAUUGGGCGUAAAGAGCGUGUAGGCGGUUCGGUAAGUCUGUCGUGAAAUCCUGAGGCUCAACCUCGGGCGUGCGAUGGAUACUGCCGGGCUAGAGGGUGGUAGAGGCGAGUGGAAUUCCCGGUGUAGCGGUGAAAUGCGCAGAUAUCGGAAGGAACACCUGUGGCGAAAGCGGCUCACUGGACCAUUACUGACGCUGAUGCACGAAAGCUAGGGGAGCAAACAGG